UGACACCCCACCCUAGCAUAUCAUGACCCCUUUCUCCCUCCUCAUAGACUUUCAAGGGUUCCCAGAGCUACUCUGAAAGGCCUCUUCUACCUCAGAUCCUGCAGUUCACUGAUGACUUCCUGCACUGCCACUUUUUGGCAUCCCUUCUUGGUGCUGAGGACAGAAGCCACAGCCUGGAGCAGCAGCCUGGGAGCUCCCCACUAUGGCCGGGGCAACUUCUACAAUUCAACUUCUACAAUUUAAAAUGGAGGUUGGUCAAGUUCAGGCAUCAGUAGACACCAGUAAUUGGAACCUAAAAAUAAAACAAGCCGAGAAAGCCUCAAAGACUUCCUGGAAGGUAGAAGGGACAAGAGGUUGCAGAAGGCU